UACGUAGGGUGCGAGCGUUGUCCGGAAUUAUUGGGCGUAAAGGGCUCGUAGGCGGUCCAUCGCGUCGGGAGUGAAAAGCUGGGGCUUAACCCCAGUCCUGCUUUCGAUACGGGUGGACUAGAGGUAGGCAGGGGAGAAUGGAAUUCCUGGUGUAGCGGUGAAAUGCGCAGAUAUCAGGAGGAACACCGGUGGCGAAGGCGAGUCCCUGGACAACACCUGACACUGAGGCACGAAAGCGUGGGGAGCAAACAGG
rnacentral:rRNA from 1 species